rnacentral:rRNA from 1 species
GUCUACAGCCAUGCUACCCUGAACAAGCCCGAUCCUGUCUGAUCUCAGAAACUAAGCAGGGUCGAGCCUGGUUAGUACUUGGAUGGGAGACCACCGAGGAAGACCAGGUGCUGUAGGCG